GUGUCAGCCGCCGCGGUAAUACGUAGGGUGCGAGCGUUAAUCGGAAUUACUGGGCGUAAAGCGUGCGCAGGCGGUUUUUUAAGCCAGAUGUGAAAUCCCCGGGCUCAACCUGGGAACUGCAUUUGGAACUGGAAGACUAGAGUGUAGAAGAGGGGGGUAGAAUUCCACGUGUAGCAGUGAAAUGCGUAGAUAUGUGGAGGAAUACCGAUGGCGAAGGCAGCCCCCUGGGCUAACACUGACGCUCAUGCACGAAAGCGUGGGGAGCAAACAGGAUUAGAUACCCUAGUAGUCC
rnacentral:rRNA from 1 species